rnacentral:rRNA from 1 species
AGCAGCCGCGGUAAUUCCAGCUCCAAUAGCGUAUAUUAAAGUUGUUGCAGUUAAAAAGCUCGUAGUUGAAUUUCGGGGUUUAUCCGUUGGUCGGGCUUUUGGGUCUGUACUGGCGUGAUGGAUUCCUACCUUCUGAAUAACCAGCAUGUCAUUAAUUUGGUGCGUUGGGGAAGCAGGACUGUUACCUUGAAAAAAUUAGAGUGCUUAAAGCAGGCUAUUGCCUGAAUACAUUAGCAUGGAAUAAUGAAAUAGGACGCAUGGUUCUAUUUUGUUGGUUUCUAGGAUCACCGUAAUGAUUAAUAGGGAUAGUUGGGGGCAUUAGUAUUCAAUUGUCAGAGGUGAAAUUCUUGGAUUUAUUGAAGACUAACUUCUGCGAAAGCAUUUGCCAAGGAUGUUUUCAUUAAUCAAGAACGAAAGUUAGGGGAUCGAAGACGAUCAGAUACCGUCGUAGUCUUAACCACAAACUAUGCCGACUAGGGAUCGGACGAUGUUAAUUUUUUAAUGACUCGUUCGGCGCCUU